rnacentral:lncRNA from 1 species
GGUUCCUGUCAUUUAAAUGAGAAUAAAAAAAUGUGGACAUAACAUGUCCACAAUUUGGACAAUUUUGGGCAUAUUCAUGGUUGGACAUUAAAUCAUUUGGACUUAAUAAAGACUGGACUUUACGUUUAGUGGACAUUAAUAGCGGUGGAUAUUUAUUUAAUGGACGAAAGGUAGGUGGACAUAAAGUCCUGGAAGCGUCAAAUCGCAAAUUCCUCACACAUGCAACAUCUCCAUUGUUCCGCACCUGGUUGGAGCUGAUGGUUUGAGGGGAUCUCAAUAUUAGAGGCCCUAACAGUAGGGAGGAGGGGGUGAGGAGGGGAGGGUCCGGAGGAAGGGGACAAUACAUUUUUAAAUUCGGUUACUUCUUGCUCUCCCUGUGUUUUCCAUUGUCACGGUAAGCUGCGUUAGAUCGUUUAUUACUUCCUGUCCUGGCAUACCAUUAAUAUCGCGGUGCGAUAUGAUCAGGCAAGCUCAAACGACCCGAAAGCAGAAUUUUUGGCAAUUGCUCGUAGAAGCGCAAUGAUGUGUUCCUUGGUGAGGCCGAGUGUAGGCCUAUUGGUAAUUUGUCUCUGUGUUCGCUCAAUUAUCUGUGCCCAAAUGCAAGUGAGUUUUUUGAGUAGGUACCCACUUGUUUCUUAUCAUAUUGCAUUUCAUUUUGAAUCACUGAUUUUGUGAUUAUUGUCAAGACAGUUUUGAGGAGCGGAUAAGGAGAAGUGUUGGUAUACUACUUACACAAGUCAAAAAUGUUGAAACAAUUCAUCUGGUCAUAUUUUUUGUGAAACGAUUCAUAUCAAAGGAAAACUUACGAUGUUGUGCUUUACUUUGAGAUUCACCCAAUUAAAGCACUGCAAUUGCGCUUUUUUUGUGAAGUUUCACAAAUCCAAAAAAUCUGCAAAAUUUGUCCAAUAGCAGCUGCUUUAUGCGGUGAGAACCGGCUUGGACGAGUCAUGCAUUGUUACGGUACAGGACAGCAUCACUUUAUCUUAUGGAUUUACCAGAAAGAUGAGAGUCGAAAAUUUUACGUCGUCGAUCGCUUUGACAACUGCCCGAAUGAGAAACAUUUGAUAUUUUUCGUUCGCAAUUACACUUACGAGAAAUCAGGGCCAAACUUAAUUGUCAAUGGGUACGAGGACAUCACUAAGGACUCUGAGCAACUACUCUGGAUGAGUAUCGAGGUGGAAAAAUGCAAAGACAAGUCAAACCCGGACACAUGCGAGUAUUUUGUUACUUGGAAAUGGGACAAUGCUUGCUCCUUCUUUGCCGUCCUGCCACCUUUCAGGUCUUACAUACAAGCACAUUCACCGGCGUGGAAGUGUCCACUGAAAAAAGGCACCUAUAAGGUGACAAACGCAACGAUGGAAGGUGAACUAGGAUUGCAGUUCCUGAAGGGUGACAGCAGAGUUUUGUGGAAACUACGCAUCAUCGUGAAAAAUCCAAGGGCGAAUGUCGUCAUCGAGUGCUUGGAUCUACAUUUCAGGAUCGUUUCUGUUCGGACGAAAUCUUGA